CAAAGUUUGCAUGGCUCUUACUCCCUUGAAGCCUGUAAAUUUCAGCACCUCAUGAAAAUCUUCCAGACACAACCACAUUGUCCUGGACACUGGCUUUUUCUAACGCAUGAUUAAGCAUGGGAUGGAGAGGGGACUGCUCAUUUUGGCCAGAGUGUAGAGUUAAAAAGUUAAUUUCCCGAUGCAGAACUAGUCCGGGCAACACUGAGAGAGGAGUUGAAAAAUCAGAGCUAAUCCUGCAGGAAUGACUCAUUCUGGCAUGGGAUUUGCAGAGCAAGAUGAGAAGCUGAGACACAUUUGACAGAUUGCAGACCAGUAGCUCAAGAGAAUUCACCUCCAGAGUGUGGAUUAAAGAAGUAGUGAAACUAACUCCAACCCUCUCACAGGAGGAAAGAGGAAGAUUUCCUUUUGGUCGAGGUGAAGUGGAAUAAAUACUCUGGCUCACCUGCUGCCAUACACAGUAAGAAACUUGCCCUCGCCAGGUAUUUGCAUGCUGUGGAUAAGUGUUCAAGUGUUCUCUUCGCGGGGAGAAGAGAGCUCAGGAGAAGCAGGGUGAGCUGGAUACACCACCUCUCAGGUAGGGUGUUGUAAAAAUCAUUCUUUAAAAACUCUUUAAUUGCCAAUUUCUUCUCAGAGUGGAGGGACACAGUUUCUGUUCAUAAUCCCACCACCAUUGUACUGUUAUUACAAAUGGGUUGGUCUGUCUGUACUGGAGAGCCCAUCCAUGAUUCUCUCCCAAUUUAGAGCUGCACAGAGAGGAACACCCACUCCCAUGGCUGGCCUGUGGGCAGCAGUGGUUCCACUGAAUCAUUCUUAUGCAUUUCAGUGAGUCCCCAUUCUCCAAAAAUUGCUGACAGUGGUGCAUCCUCCGUGUGUGGGAAGUGUGGCACAAUACGGUGUGUUUGCGUAGGUACCAGUCCACUUGUGCUUCCAUCAGCUGUAAAAUUCACAAGAAGCAGCAUCUCCUACCUAGAUCUUUGGCUACUUUACUUUGGAGCAGUGCACCAAGAACAGAUGUCUGCUGGAUCUGUGUCAGAAAUAGUCAGAAAAAGAACUUUCCACAGAGUUAUUUUUUAUCAGUUGCUUGCCUUUUAAUCCAUGUGACAAGUAGAUCACAGAUCUUCAAGGGAUACUAAUUAGGCACCUAAAAUGAGAUUAAGUGGACUGUCAAAGCCAUUUGGCUGCUAUAAUUAUCAUCCUCCUAUUUACACUGUGCCUUUAGCUGAAGUUUGGGCAGGACUGAUGAGAAACUAUGAUCACACAUGGGUGUAAGUUUGUGUUAGUCACACCUCCCUGAUUUCUGCAUGGCUGCUGCAGAUUUCAUAUGGAAGCCAAGCGGAAGGCAGAUAAAGCUUAGUGCUGCUCCCUCCAGCCCAGGCUCUUACACAGUCAACACGUUCCAGCACCUCUGAGGCAGUUCAUAUGUCCCUGGGGUUUUUGUUGUAGAUCUUCAUAUGGGAUCUCCUGGCCACCUUCAGUGCUCUAUGAAAUCUCUGGUUCCUGCAGCUGCUUUUCAACAGAUGGGGAGCCCAUGCCCCUCUGAGGAGUAUGCUGUGGGAAUAAGCUCUGGUAGCAGUUGCUUGGCUCAGUUUAUACUUUGUAGCAAGGAGGAUUAUUCUGUGUGUGCCGCUGUGCCGAGAGCCGACUAAGAGAAACUGGCAGCAAAUCUGCAAUGACCAGCCAGAGCAGCAGCCUGGGAUAUAACAACCCCGAGGACGAUGGGAAAACAGCUAUUCCUUGUGUAGUUAUCUCCCAAAUGCCUCUCCAGUCAUGGGUCACCCAAGAGCAAGGAAAUUGCUUCUGACCMCUUUCAACAAGAACAUGAACCACCCUGAAGAAACAGCCCAGAGACCCAGCCAACACUCCACCAUCAAGAUCAACGGAAAUGUGCUGCAGAGAAAUGGUAAUCCCAAGAGAAAGCCCACUUAAGCUCCCAGUGGAUCUCUUGGGUCCUUUAUUUCUGUSCUUCUCAAACCCCUCUUGCUGGUGCUUAGCUCUGAAGAGACGCAUUCUGUCAGGGCAGCAGGCUGCAUUACCAUGCUAAGAGCACUCGGUCUCCAGCAGAUCYUCUUUCCAGUCUCCACUUGCUGAGCUGUUGAGUGGUUAAGUGUGGAUUCAAGCCUCCUUGUCAUAGCURGCUGGGCAGGCAUUUCGCCGGCGACAUCAGAUGCAUCCUGCUAGAGAGKUGAAGGCCCUUGAGUCGACUGGAGUGGAGUAACACACAGAGAAUUCCGUGGGGAAUUCUCCUUUCCAAUGUGCUUGACUGCAGAAUGUGCUGUGGCCCUAAUCACACACAGCUUGUGUCUGUGACACAGUAGGAUGCAAUGUGAGACASAGCUUUGAGCCACGGAACAACUGUUCAAACUGCAGCUACUUUUCCAGGAUGAGCCACAAAACAUAACCUAGUUUGUGAAUGGGAGGACUUAGCUGGUUUCAAAGCUUGAGAACAACUAAUUUCUGCUGAAAUCAUUGGAGACCCCCACUCCCACAUGGAUCAGGCCUCUUAAGGCCAUGGUUCUCCAAGCCAAGAUGCUAUAAUAAASAGCCAACAAAUUCCUGAUGCAUUCUGGCAGCCUAAGUACCAGGGUACUAAAGAUUGAAUGUAAAAAAGUUCCAGGUACUUGCUGAUGCCAGAUUCGUGUCCAAAAGCUGCCAGCCAAAUCAGUGGAAAAACCUGAGAAGACGUUUUCAUGUAAAAAUCUUGCCUUUCCCAUCACUUUUUUAUUCAGGCCACAUUUUGUGUUGCUUGACUGUCCAAGGAAAGAAAAGCACUGAACAUGCAGUGAUUAGAUCUAAUGUGAAAAAAGCGAUUUUGGAGGUGCUGGAAUAAAAUCGAAUAGGGAUGCAGAGAUGCUCUGCAGAGCGUUGUGGACAUCAGAGGCAGUUGCUGCAGUUUUCUUGCACAUGCUGCAGAGAAAGGGAUGCAGGACUACAACRCACUACAGAGAGACACAGCUUUUCUGACUUCCUUGUUUCCUACACACCAUCUUCUUUUCUGUGGUUUUUGUUUUGUGACUGCGGRAAAGAUAGUUUCUUUGAAAAGGUCUUGAAAGCUCAAAAACAUGGAUUUUUCUAAACUUUCCAGUUAAAUAUUUACUGUYCCAGACAGAAAAUGCUUUGUUCAUCAAUUGUCUGAAUGCCCCCACCUUGAAAAGAGGCACAGAGCCUCAGAGAUCUUUCAGCAAACAAAUUCCUUCUCAUUACUGACUCUGUGGGCAUGACUGCUCUCAGAAAACUUGAAAGUCAAGCUGCUCAGGAGUGCUGCCCAUACAUGUUUACCUUGUACUCCAGCUUCCCUCUUCAGACUAAAUCAGGUACUUUUUGUCUGGUUUGCCUWAACAAGUAGAGCUGAGGAAUGAAUUCUGGAGCAUUCCUGGGGGUUCAGCCAGGCUAGCCCCGGGUUUCUGACACUGACUUCUGUAUGAUUCCUGUAAAUUCCAGGUUAACCAGCAACCCUGCAUGCUCCUCAGCACCACAGAGACAUAUCAGAAAUGCUUGUAGAUGUAUAUUUUUAAUGUGUACUUGACCUUACUCCUUACACCUUGCUUCAGGGUUGUUCUUUCACAUGAAGUAGAGCUGACAUCUGCAAAAAACUACUUUUUAACCCAAGGUCAAACWGUGGGCUGCCCUGCCUGUGGGAGCAGGUAUUUUAGGUCUUGAACUUAAGCUGCAUGUCUCUGAGAGGCCAUCAGGCUAAGCUGGAAGUUGCAGAGGUGGCCGUGAAGGGCAAACCAUUUCCCCUGCAGCCUGGACUGGUCCUGUCAGAGCUUCACAGAAAGCACAACCCCAUGGUGUCUCACAGAGGUCUGGUCACCAUCCCCUGAGCAUAACAGGCUGAAAGAUGCUGUGUUCAGCAGGAGUAAAUAAUUUGGCAGUGUGCUGGGUGGGAGGAUGUGACUGCAGUGUGAUGAGAAGAUUUAAAAUAUUGAGUGAGAGACCUGAAAUCAGUGCAACAGGCUAAAUUUACCCAUACCCCAGCUAGUGAAUUUGUGAGCAGUGAAUGUGCUGCAUUCAAAGUCAGAAGUUUCAGUAAAAUUUAAAAAAACUGAUACAAAUAUUUUCCUCUCUCAGCAACUCAGUGUAUUUCAUUCCUCAGACAUAAAGUUGUAUUAACGCAAUUCAGAGCAUCRCAGAGAGAGCCUGUGUAUACUUGUGUUCAAAUGAUAAUGUGAAUUCAUACCUGAUAUGAUUUUUGUGCUAUUAGCUGGCUGGAGUAGCCCUUGGGAUAGAUCUGGCCCACAGAUGUUGCGGCAUUGCUCAGCAGAUUUUGCAGCAUUGCUCAACAGAUUUUGCAGCAUUGCUCAACAGUUACUGUCUGAAGCUCAUACCUAUACUGGAAAGCAAAUGGCAAUACUGCAAGCAGUCAUGUGCCUGAGCAAAGCAGAUUUCUGUGCAGCUGAUCAGUACUUGGAGCCAGAGCAUCAUGACUCCAGUGGUAAAUGCUUAUUAAAGAAAUGUACGCAAGAGUAUUUUGUUAGUAAAAAGAAAAUAGAGGGAAAAAAAAAAAGAGAGAAAAGAAGCCAAACUAAUAAAUGAUAGAGCAGGACGUGCAACAGAAAAGUAGCAUGCCACAGAGAUGGUGCAUCUGAUGCAGGGAGAMGAGAGAUGGAGGGAAUCAGGCUUUGUUAGCAUGGAGAAAGGAUAUCUCAGGAAAGAUCUAAUUGCAGAUGUCCACUGACAGACAGUUACCAACCUUUCAGAAGGGAAGGUAACCCAAGGGAAAUCUUGUUGUAAAAAUUCUUGUUUUGAUCCUUGUCAUAAGGGACAYAUUGCAGCAUGGAAAUUCUGUUUGCCCAUAAGUAGUAAAACAACAGUGGURAAGCCCUGGGACAGGGCUAAAAGAGAUGGUGGGAUGACCACUGCUGGACAUGUUCAAAAUUUAGCCGGUCAAGGCCCUGACCAAGCUGACCUUGCUUUGAAGGCAGUUGAGCUUGAAAAGGGGGAUGGGAACAAAGACCUUCAGAUGUGCCUCCCCACCUGAAUGUUUCCAUGAUUCUGAGUGUACAGCCUGCAGCUCCCAGUCAUGUGUUAAUCAUGCCUUAAAAAAUAAUUUCUGAGUAAUCCUGAGGAUUAUUUACGUGACCCUGGGGCUCACUCUCAUGUCAGUACCAAGUGUAGGACUCGUUCUUAAUUGAGGAGCUAAAUAUAAAUCAGCAGCCCAACAGGAUUACUCAGUCUGCAACAGUGUCUUUCAAAUGGGCAUGUGUGCUUUCCAUUCACUCCUUUCAGAUAUUGCCCUGAUAAACCAUUUUCUACAACUUUAUGUAGCUACACAGGAGAACAACUGAAAUAGACAAUGUUCCAUUUGUUCCCGGUAGAAGGGGAGGAAAGGUCAGGUCUACUAUCAAUGUGUGUUUCAGGUUUGUUUCAUGUCAGGUUAGAGAAGUGCUACAAAUCAAGUUUUGCAUUAUUGCCCUCCUGUUGAUCUCUAUUAUCACAAUCUUCAGAUGCACACAAAAGGAAUCCCUAGUUCAUGUUUACUGAUGCUUUGUGAUUUCUUGGGAGUAGGUCUUCUCAGUACCUCCGCAGCCUGAUGGUCUUCCUCAGCUUUUAUGGACCAAGAAAGCCACAUUAAUUCUAAGCAGGRGGUUUUACUCACUCGUAGUCAUUCAUAGAUUUUCCCCUACACACUCUCAAAUGCGUGUUCAUGGGCACGGAGAGUUCUAUUCCCAAGCAAUCUGUUCAGAAUCACUUGGGAUGGCAGGGUGGAUGAGGGACAAGAGGUAUCAAUUUUUUCAUUGAGUCUCUUGCAGCCCCUCUUGGUUGGUGAUUGUAAACUGUUCUUUGGGCAGGUCUCAUGCAGUCCCUAGCAUACAUGUGUUGAUACAGGCGGAUAGUUUUGCCUCAGCAUUCUGCUUCCUUCAGCACAAUCUCUCCUUGGUUUGGGUUUCAUGAGGUAUCAGAAAGAGGCAAGACAGAAGCCUGUUCUGGGCUCUUGUUGCCAUCCUCUUGUUGUCAGGGAAYACGGUGUAAGACACCACCUAAUCUCAGCAUAGGCCUUCUGGGCAUGGUACAAGAAACUGCAUUCAAUCAAAACAAAUUUUCCAUCUCAACUUUAGGCCUGCUAGAAGAGUCCUGUGAAAUGCAMCUAAAGGAAUUCAACUAAAUUCAAUUUGGAAGGCAUCUUCAGAGGUCCCUAYUCCAACAAUCUGCUCCAAGCAUGGCUGACCAGAAAGCGAGAUCAGGUUAUUUCCAACGAUGGACAUCCCACCAAGGGAUCCCAUACAAGGACUGUCCCUGCUUGUGUGAUGGUUUCAUCUCUGUAUUCUCAGAAAUUCUCAGGGAUUGCACUCAAUUUGGGAUGCUACAUGAUCAGUGCCAUUGAGCAGUGGAGGGACACUUCCCUCCACUGAUUUUCAAGGACCACCCAGUCCCUGGUCAGCCACCAAGGUCACGGCUGACAUUCCUUGCUGUCCACCAGGAUUGCAGCCCUUCUGUGCAGACCAAGGGCCUCAUUCUGCACCACUGYUAGGCUCCUCCCAGCCAGGGGCACGACACAACCUUUGCUCAGGCUGUGCUCCAGGAGGUUCAUGGCACCCCAUUUCUGCAGCCUAUUGAGGCCUCUCUGAAGGGCUGUGUUCCCCUCCAGCUGCUCCCCCAGUGUGGGACAAUCCCUAAUUCCCUACAUCCCAUUUUCUAGGCUGUUGAUAAAGAUUUUAAAAGUAUUGGCCUGAGAUUAACCCCUGAUAAAUGGCGCAUAUAACUAUCUGCCAGCUACUCUUUGACUGAUGGACCUCUAUCCUUGAACCUGACAGCCCAUCCAGUUUUCCACUCAUUUAACAGUUCACCUGUGAAAUCCAUAAUUUCACCAGCAUAGCUGCAAAAGUAAUAGUCAAAACCUCCAAAAUAACUCUUGCAAAAAGAUUUCCCUUCCUAAAACACCAUUUUCAGAUAGAAACUUUGUUUUUAUCAUCUUGAUCCUUUGGUAUUGGCACAAGCUGGGUGUUMGCAUGUCAGUUUUGUGCCUGAGGCUCUGAAUACCCUGUUAUUGUAACAAACUACACCCGCUUGUCAUUUAAUACUGGCACCAGCAAAAGGAAUUUUGUCAUAUGUGAAAACUAACAGGGAAAUCCAUCUUUUGUAAACCCCUAGAGUUAGAAAGUUCAUGUAUUGUUGAUCAGACAAUAAAACAGAUACCAUGAAGGAAAGGGACUCACAGUGCCUUGUAARCACAGUUUUAAUAAUUAGAAAAAAAGGUAGCAAUUAUGCUUUUAUUUUUAUUUUAUCUUAGGACAAAAAGUGAGAUACCGGAAGGAGUUACAGGCAGCAAAGAAAUAUGGCUUUAUCUGCAGGUUGGGUGUGCUCUAAUCUGACAUCCUGACAAUGCUGUAUGGUGAGUAAUAUCUAGAGCAUGUCUGCCAAAGCACUAGAGCCAAAGCAGAGUCUACCUGUCACUCCAAAAAGGCCCAAAUGAAUAGCAGGAUGCUAAUCCUUCGGGCACCACACAGCCUGAUGCAUUUGUCUGCUACGUUAGGGAGGAGAUCAUGCUUCCUUUCAGAUUAUUACAGGUGUGGAGCUCCCACACACAGAGAAAAAUGCACCACUGCAAAAGCUUUCUGAUAAUGGAAAGUMACGUGCUUAAACUCCCAGGGCACUUGCAGCUCACUGUUUCAGAACUAAAACCUACUUUCUCAGGAUCAUCCCAUACCCCCAUGCAUUUUGAUGCUUGUUUUGCUAUGAUGAAGUAUWAGGUGAAAAGUUCAGACAUUGUUUCUCUGCUUCCCUAAAAACUUACCUGUUUCUUUUUUAGGAAAAAAAAAACAUUAUACUGAUAAAUCCAUUAUGAGCUUAUAUAACUAGUGAACACUGUAAGUGAUUAGAUCUGAAUCGAUAAAUGCCUUUUUCAAAUGAUAUCUAUGAAAASUUUGAUUUUGCUUUACAGGAAAUGUACCUGGAAUUGUUUUUACACCACAAUAAAAGUUUAGAGAAGAUGUUA